AAACUGACAGAAAACCUGCUACUUAAUGGAGAGAUUAUUGAUGUCAAUAAAGCAGAUGCUCCUUUGCAAAAUAUGGGGAUGAGCCUUUCAGAAAAGGAAAUUAAUGAUCUGAAACAUGAUCUACCAGUUGAUGGGCAGACUUGUUCCCAGAGCAGAAUGUUGGAUAAUGUGAAAUCCAUUAAAGG